rnacentral:rRNA from 1 species
UGGGGAAUAUUGCACAAUGGGCGCAAGCCUGAUGCAGCCAUGCCGCGUGUAUGAAGAAGGCCUUCGGGUUGUAAAGUACUUUCAGCGGGGAGGAAGGGAGUAAAGUUAAUACCUUUGCUCAUUGACGUUACCCGCAGAAGAAGCACCGGCUAACUCCGUGCCAGCAGCCGCGGUAAUACGGAGGGUGCAAGCGUUAAUCGGAAUUACUGGGCGUAAAGCGCACGCAGGCGGUUUGUUAAGUCAGAUGUGAAAUCCCCGGGCUCAACCUGGGAAUUGCAUCUGAUACUGGUCAGCUAGAGUCUUGUAGAGGGGGGUAGAAUUCCAUGUGUAGCGGUGAAAUGCGUAGAGAUGUGGAGGAAUACCGGUGGCGAAGGCGGCCCCCUGGACAAAGACUGACGCUCAGGUGCGAAAGCGUGGGGAGCAAACAGG